AGAUUGAACGCUGGCGGCAUGCCUUACACAUGCAAGUCGAACGGUAGAGUAGCAAUACUCGAGAGUGGCGAACGGGUGAGUAAUAUAUCGGAACGUGCCCAGUCGUGGGGGAUAACGUAGAGAAAUUUACGCUAAUACCGCAUACGAUCUACGGAUGAAAGCGGGGGAUCGCAAGACCUCGCGCGAUUGGGAGCGGCUGAUAUCAGUAUUAGGUUGUUGGUGAGGUAAAGCUCAC
rnacentral:rRNA from 1 species